CCUUACAACCGAGCAACAAAUCGGAACGCCGCUACCUCGGCCCUUUGGGACUGGUUGCCAUGACAACGCGUGGCCAGUGAGCGAUGCUUAUGGUAAAGUCUGAGAGAGAAAUAGUUUAGUGCAGGUGGUUCGGAGUGCCUCCAAACGCGAGUUACUUACCGGUAACUUUUUAUCGUCGUCGUGCUUCGGGAAUGCUUGUUGUUGUGAAAGUGUAGUGCUUGAUGCCUUCAGAGGAAUUAGCUGCGUUGGUUUUCGGAGUUUUUCGAGGGCGAGAAGUGUCAGAAGUUUCGGGGAAGCGAGGAGUUUUUUUGAAGGGCCCUCCUCCACCACCUCCUACUCCUCCUGUCAAGAACAGCUGAUUAUAUUUCUUACCUUCACCCGAACACUUCCGGGCAGAAAGCAUCUUGGACUCUGCAUCGAGGUGACAACAGUAAAUCACAUUUUGAAGAAGGGAAUCAAGAAACGACCAGUACAUCAGAGGCCAUAUUGGUGUUCUUCUUCUUCUGCAAGGGUCUAUAGCAAAAGCAAAACCUUCAAGAAUAUCACUAUUCUGAAGGCGUCUUCUAGUCGCUAAUCAGUUUGUCCUUUCGUGGUUCCAACCCUGAAAUAAAUACAAGAAGAAGCGUAGUAGCAGAGUCAAGAAGCAUUUCAAGUUGCUUGAGAGAGAGAAAAAGAAGUCAUCUAGAAACACUGGUCAUUCUGUCCUCUUGCCUUGUUAAAAGAAGGUUCUGCCUCCGUCCACUUCCGCAACUUUCGUUACCUGAAGAAUGAGUGAAUCCGCCGUGCCUUGGUCUUACAACAACAAGAACAGCAGAAACAGCAGAAUGUCGUCAGCGUGGACAAACAACGCUCUCCCGGAAUCAGAUAUUCCCGGCUCUGUGGACGAAGACGCUGGCGUUCGUCAGCAGAAACUCCUGAAGCAG